GCUUGCUAGCUAAAGUACAUCAAAGUUAGGGACCAUCGACAUGUUGCUAGAUAUUGGUGAAAAUAACUGCAUAUUUGACUCAAUAUUCACAUGUAGAAAGUUGGUGGGACGAGUGCACAAUUAUACUGACUAAUAUCAGAUAUAAUUAUUUUGCAGAACACUUUCAAAUUACAUUAUUUUGGAAGAAGUAGUUUUUUUCUUCUCAUAAAAAUAUUGCUGCAGGUAACUUUUCCAGAGCCCUUAAUACGUCACACCGGAAUACGGAAGUUUGAAACAUUUUGGAAAAAAAAACAUUUAACAAAACUGGUUCAAAUGAACCAAAUAUGAGAGACCGCGAAAAAGUGACAUAUCACAAUAACGAUAGAUUAUGGUGUACAUUUUCUGAUAAGAACUAGCCCAGUUUGCUCCAUGGGACAACACAACACGCAGGGCCCACGCUUGUUGCAACUUGACCAAUUCAAUGUUUGGGGUGAUGUUUUAUACCAGACAACCUUCAUGAUUUCACACUAACGAUAAUUGACUUAAUUUGGAUGGAAAGUUCGUUUGCUAACAAGCCAGCUAGCUAUAGCUAUAAAACGAAGCACCCAAAAUGCAAUCAGCUGAUAUGCUGCAUCUUCCAGGUCAUGUGACCAACCCCCCCCCCCCUCCCCUCUCUGGGUUUCAGAAGGGGUCUCCAGAUAGGUAGCUCGAGCUGUUCACUUGUAUGGAACCAGAUAUCGCCUCUUCUCUCACAACCAGUACAAUAUCGACGGUAGGAAAAAUACUGCUUUCCCAAGACAUGCCCCUCUAGCGAACCUCUUUGAUGUAAAUACUACCGAGCCAGGAAUCACAGCUUUACAGUGUCUCUGGAGGAGGAAUCGAAGAGGCAGCAGGAGGAUCCACCCAGCACCAGCGGACCAACCAUGACCUCUGACACUGACCAUCGUCAAGACGGUAUUGAAUUUGAAACCCCAUGGCUCUGUUUAGUCAGAACAGACUCCUGUAUUCAUAGUGUCUCAGAGUAGGACUGCUCAUCUACUACCAGUGUCUCCGUAUGAGCAGGAGGCCGAUUAUAUUAUUUUAUGCUUACAGGCCCUGGGCUGCAUUCAGCAGGGCUCAACGUUGUGGAACGUGUUAAUUUGCAAUAUAUUAUGUAGGACAAACA
rnacentral:lncRNA from 1 species